rnacentral:rRNA from 1 species
GGAGGAGGCAAGCGUUAUCCGGAAUUAUUGGGCGUAAAGCGUCCGCAGGUGGCUUCUCAAGUCGGCGGUGAAAGGCUGGGGCUUAACCCCAGACCAGCCGUGGAAACUGAGAAGCUAGAGUGCGGUAGGGGUAGAGGGAAUUCCCAGUGUAGCGGUGAAAUGCGUAGAGAUUGGGAAGAACACCGGUGGCGAAAGCGCUCUACUGGACCGCAACUGACACUCAGGGACGAAAGCUAGGGGAGCGAAAGGGAUUAGAUACCCCUGUAGUCCUAGCUGUAAACGAUGGAUACUAGGCGUGGCUGGUGAUCACUCCAGCCGUGCCGAAGCCAACGCGUUAAGUAUCCCGCCUGGGGAGUACGUGCGCAAGCAUG